GGGGAGAUAGCUCAGGGGUAGAGCAUUUGACUGCAAAAUCCCAUGAUCUGUCCAUUCGGGGCUCAGAAAAGACCAGGUCUGGUCUGGGACAAGUCCUAGUUGCCCCU
rnacentral:tRNA from 1 species